AGAUUGAACGCUAGCGGGAUGCUUUACACAUGCAAGUCGAACGGCAGCGCGGACUUCGGCCUGGCGGCGAGUGGCGAACGGGUGAGUAAUAUAUCGGAACGUGCCCAGUAGCGGGGGAUAACUACGCGAAAGCGUGGCUAAUACCGCAUACGCCCGUACGGGGGAAAGGGGGGAUUCUUCGGAACCUCUCACUAUUGGAGCGGCCGAUAUCAGAUUAGCUAGUUGGUGAGGUAAAGC
rnacentral:rRNA from 1 species